AUAGCAACACCGAAGUGGCCGCUCGGACCAUGAUGGGAGAGAAGAAGGCCUCAGGCCGCGUCCCGGAGCCGACCGGAAGUACUACUAUCCCGGAAGUGCCAUCAGACCGGAAGUGCCAUCACACCGGAAGUGCCUUCAGACCGGAAGUGCUAUGAAACCGGAUGUGUUGUCGUAGCAACCCGGAAGUGGCCGCUCGGACCAUGAUGGGAGAGAAGAAGGCCUCAGUCCGAGUCCCGGAGCCGACCGGAAGUACUACUAUCCCGGAAGUGCAAUCAGACCGGAAGUUCCAUCAGACCGGAAGUGCCUUCAGACCGGAAGUGCUAUGAAACCGGAAGUGCUGCCAUAGCAACCCGGAAGCGGCCGCGAGAACGAUGA